rnacentral:rRNA from 1 species
UACGUAGGGCGCAAGCGUUAUCCGGAAUUAUUGGGCGUAAAGAGCUCGUAGGCGGUUUGUCGCGUCUGCCGUGAAAGUCCGGGGCUCAACUCCGGAUCUGCGGUGGGUACGGGCAGACUAGAGUGAUGUAGGGGAGACUGGAAUUCCUGGUGUAGCGGUGAAAUGCGCAGAUAUCAGGAGGAACACCGGUGGCGAAGGCGGUUCUCUGGGCAUGACCUGACGCUGAGGAGCGAAAGUGUGGGGAGCGAACAGG